CACGUAGGCACCAAGCGUUAUCCGGAUUUAUUGGGCGUAAAGAGCUCGUAGGCGGUUUGUCGCGUCGGAUGUGAAAACCCGGAGCUCAACUCCGGGCCUGCAGUCGAUACGGGCGGACUUGAGUGUUGCAGGGGAGACUGGAAUUCCUGGUGUAGCGGUGAAAUGCGCAGAUAUCAGGAGGAACACCGGUGGCGAAGGCGGGUCUCUGGGCAACUACUGACGCUGAGGAGCGAAAGCGUGGGGAGCGAACAGG
rnacentral:rRNA from 1 species